UUGAACGCUGGCGGCGUGCUUAACACAUGCAAGUCGUGCGGUAACAGGCGUAGCAAUACGUGCUGACGAGCGGCGAACGGGUGCGUAAUACAUGGGAAUCUGCCCUUUAGUGGGGAAUAACCCGGCGAAAGCCGGGCUAAUGCCGCAUAAGAUCUUCGGAUGAAAGCGGGGGAGUCGUAAGACCUCGCGCUGAUGGAUGAGCCCACUGCCGGAGUUAGCUAGUUGGUUGAGGUAACGGCUCACCAAGGCGACGAUCCGUAGCUGGUCUGAGAGGACGGCCA
rnacentral:rRNA from 1 species